ACUACUUUGUUGGUGAAAGCCUUUUCUAGUGCUCUGAUCUGACUCUCUUUCGACUUGGGGAGACUGUCGUGAAUGUAACGUAUACCGACCUUGUAGUCGGAAACGAAGCCUCACUUUGAAUCCCCUUCUGGUAAUUCCAGGUCGAACGCUGGGGCUCGCACGGCACGGUGGUUC
rnacentral:other from 1 species